rnacentral:rRNA from 1 species
UACGUAGGGGGCAAGCGUUGUCCGGAUUUAUUGGGCGUAAAGAGCGUGUAGGCGGCCUGGAAGGUCAGCUGUGAAAACUCGAGGCUCAACCUCGAGACGUCGGUUGAAACCACCUGGCUAGAGUCCGGAAGAGGAGUGUGGAAUUCCUGGUGUAGCGGUGAAAUGCGCAGAUAUCAGGAAGAACACCCGUGGCUAAGGCGGCUCUCUAGUACGGUACUGACGCUGAGACGCGAAAGCGUGGGGAGCGAACAGG